GACGAACGCUGGCGGCGUGCCUAAUACAUGCAAGUCGAGCGAAUGAAUGGGAGCUUGCUCCCAUUCGUUAGCGGCGGACGGGUGAGUAACACGUGGGCAACCUGCCUGUAAGACUGGGAUAACUUCGGGAAACCGGAGCUAAUACCGGAUAAUUUCUUUCUUCACAUGGAGAAGGGUUGAAAGAUGGCUUCGGCUAUCACUUACAGAUGGGCCCGCGGCGCAUUAGCUAGUUGGUGAGGUAACGGCUCACCAAGGCGACGAUGCGUAGCCGACCUGAGAGGGUGAUCGGCCACACUGGGACUGAGACACGGCCCAGACUCCUACGGGAGGCAG
rnacentral:rRNA from 1 species